rnacentral:rRNA from 1 species
ACGGAGGAUGCGAGCGUUAUCCGGAUUUAUUGGGUUUAAAGGGUGCGUAGGCGGUUGAUUAAGUCAGCGGUGAAAUCUCUAUGCUCAACAUAGAACGUGCCGCUGAUACUGAACAACUAGAGAAAUCACGACGUUGGCGGAAUGAGACAAGUAGCGGUGAAAUGCAUAGAUAUGUCGCAGAACACCGAUUGCGAAGGCAGCUAACGAGAGGUUAUCUGACGCUGAGGCACGACAGCGUGGGGAUCAAACAG